UUGAUUUUGCAGCAUCCACAACAUCUCCAACAACAACAUCUGUGACAACAACAACUUCAACCACAACAUACAGCACAUCAUGUUCCUGUUCUUAUAAAGGAAAAUUAUAUUCACCAGGUCAGGAAAUAACAAGUAGUUCAGUUCUUGGAAUAUGCUACAGUAUUGUAUGUGACAUCAAUUGUAAUGAUGGGGCAAAUGCAAUUGAGGUACCUUGUGAAACAACACCACCAACUACUACAACUAAAACACCACCAACUACAACUAAAACACCACCAACUACAACAACAACCACACCACCAACUACUACAAAAACACCACCA